UGCUGACAGAGGCAGAGCCUCCCCUUUGCAGUCUUCUCGGCUGUGCUUCACUUCAGUUCCAGUCUGUUCAAUGUUCAUCACAAGAAAAAACAUCAAAUUCUAAGGGGUAAUGUGGUUCAGCUACCACAAAUUGUACAACUACAAUUCUCUGAUGUGAGAUAUAUAUGCAUGUUAAGAGUGGUACUCAAGCAACCUGCUCAACAGAGAGCUUGCAAAGAUGUCAUGUUUGGGAAGAGUUCAAGUAAAAACAAGAAGUUGUGUUAUCUGAUGUACAUUGCAAAUAAGAGGAAAUUCAAAUGGCUACUUUACCUGCCAACUGACACCCCUGCUGAGAAUAGAUGGUGGCCUAUAUGUUGCACCAGCAUAUCUAGACACUCCAAUAAAUGCACUGGUAGGCUGCAGGAAAAGACAGCAGAUAUGAAAGAAAAAUGCAGCCUAAAAUGUGUUCUGUCUUGUAGUUUCCAGUAUGAACUUCACGCAAAGGCCCACGUCGAAAAUUUCCUGCUCCUGAACUUUCUUGUGGCUUAAUGCCACCAGUAGUUCAGAUCACAAUAGGAGGGUAUUGGCAUCUUAUGGUCUGGAGUGUUUGGGACUGAAAAUGGAUCUUCUGUCUCGGUCUAAGCAGUGUUCAUUUCUGCUAGUUCUCUACAGCAAUAUUUAAUUGAGCAGAUGUCUUAUGGAUGAAACUGGAUUAUUUGGCUUACUCAGUGAGAAUGCUGGCUUUCUAGCGUUGAAUUGUGUUGGAAGUCAAAGAGUGGUUCAGAUUUCUUCUGAAUUCAUACUUUUGUUUUCUAUUUUAGGAAAAUUUGGAGCAGACAUUGCUUCAAUUCCAGCACCUGCUCUGUACUGCAUUUUCUUUGCUUAUGUGGGUUCAGCAGUAAGUUUUCUUCAGUUCUGCAACCUGAACAGCUCCAGAAUCAAAGUCCAUACUAGGCUUCUCCAUACUAGGCUUCUCAAUCUUCUUGGGCUUGUCUGUGCCCUGGCAUUUCAAUGACAACACAGCUAUCUGAUGAUAUGGUCCAGUUCACAGCAACAGAAGAUGGUCAAAAUAUAAAGCUUGCAAGAGAAAGGCUAUGUUCUUCCAUGCUCUGCAGCUUAAUGACCUGGUCAAUGUCCCUUUCCAUCGGAAGCUUUUGUUGCCGGGGAGAUGGCUUAUUUGCUGGAUGACACGCUCCACAAGAACGAUGCUCAGAUAAGGAAAGAGGUAAGCGCUGGCAGGACAAGUUCAAAUCCUUCAAAACAAACACAAGAAGCGAGGAAUUUUAUUCCCUUACUUUCCAUCUAAACCAAUAGUACCCGUCUGUUUGAGUUGCUCACGCAAGAUUAAAGACGUCAGUAGUAACUAAGCUUUUGAUCCCUCAUUAGCUCUGAGAAGCUGGAAGUAGCGCUGCUCCGCUACAAAAUUGUUCUUCAAUUUGCAUCUUUUUUACAUGCUAAAGAAGUGUAAAUAGUAUCACCAUCUAAAGCCUAGAGCAUUUGUUUAUUAGUUUCCUUUCUGUGAAUCAAAUUUUGUGGCAACACGGAAUUGAAAUACAGGUGGAAGUCAUAUUUUUUUGCCUGGAAUCA